GUCUGAUCAAGUGAGAAUGCUGCUCCCAAGACUUCAUUUCUUUUUUGCCGCUAGAUGCGGCUGCGCUGUCCAUUCCGGCGGUCUCCAAGAAACCUCUUUUCUGGGAUCAACUUCAGUCCUCUUCUUCACUUCAUAUACAACUACUCUCUGACAAGCAGAUGUAUAGGCAAUGCGUAUAUGAAGAAGGCACCACCAUUCACCACAUGGACAUCAUACAAAGUCCCUUGGAGGGAAGAUGUGCUUUCAACUUUUACUAGACCUUUGCUAUCAGCCGAACCAGAGAUUUAUUCAAGAGUUUUAAAAGACACUGAUAGAUUCAUCAUAUUUGGAUCUGGUGGAUUUUGAAAAUGUGUGACACUGCUAAAAUUGUUAAUGCUAGUCCACGAGAUGGGAUUGCAAAAAGACUUGCAACGUAUGCUCUACAGAUUGCAGCUGGAAGAAGGAAAAAUAUAUAUAGAGACAUAUUACAUUAUCCUAAGGGAAGUUUUGUUAGUGGAGGGCGGUGUUUUAGUCAGAGUGCCAGGCCAGAUUAUCAUCAUGAUAUUGUUGUGAUUGUUAUCUAUAUGGACAAAAUGUCGAAUGGGGCUGUGAGUCCACAAAUCAUGUCUUAUAGAGGUCACUUUAACACAUUUCAACCUUAAGAUUUUAGAAAUCUUUAGUUGCAUUGCAUGUGUCUAUCUGACAUAUGCCAAAAGGAUUAUGUCUAACACAUACAAAAUAUAUUUUUUAUAUAUAAAAGUUGUUAGUUUUUUUAGCAUUUUUUUUUUUUUGUCUAAGUUGUCAAGUUGUUCAUCAUUUUUUUAGGACGUCUUUACUCGUAUCUAGUGA